AACGAACGCUGGCGGCAUGCCUAACACAUGCAAGUCGAACGAGACCUUCGGGUCUAGUGGCGCACGGGUGCUUAACGCGUGGGAACCUGCCCUUAGGUUCGGAAUAACUCCCCGAAAGGGGUGCUAAUACCGGAUAAUGUCUUCGGACCAAAGAUUUAUCGCCUUUGGAUGGGCCCGCGUUGGAUUAGCUAGUUGGUAGGGUAAAAGCAUACCAAGGCGACGAUCCAUAGCUGGUCUGAGAGGAUGAUCAGCCACACUGGGACUGCGACACGGCCCAGACUCGUACGGGAGGCAGCAGUGGGGAAUAUUAGACAAGGGGCGAAAGCCUGAUCCAGCAAUGCCGCGUGAGUGAUGAAGGCCUUAGGGUUGUAAAGCUCUUUUACCCGGGAUGAUAAUGACAGUACCGGGAGAAUAAGCUCCGGCUAACUCCGUG
rnacentral:rRNA from 1 species